CAUAGCGACUAUCGUGGCAUAUCAAUAAGCGGAGGAAAAGAAACUAACAAGGAUUCCCUUAGUAACGGCGAGUGAAGCGGGAAGAGCUCAAAUUUGAAAUCUUCAAGGUUCUACCUUGACGAAUUGUAGUUUAUAGAAGUGUUUUCUGUUAGUAGAGUGGCAAAAGUUCUUUGGAAUAGGACAUCAUAGAGGGUGAGAAUCCCGUAUUUGGUCAUUCUUUCUAGCUUUGUGAUACACUUUCAACGAGUCGGAUUGUUUGGGAAUGCAGUCCAAGAUGGGUGGUAAAUUUCAUCUAAAGCUAAAUAUUGGCGAGAGACCGAUAGCGAACAAGUACCGUGAGGGAAAGAUGAAAAGAACUUUGAAAAGAGAGUUAAACAGUACGUGAAAUUGUCAAAAGGGAAGCGUUUGACACCAGUGUUGUUUUUCCGAAAAUCAAUUACGAAUGUUUUAUUUUUGAGAAGUUAUGACUUCAUCGGCUUGCUUCUCUCUUUAUGAAACUUUCUUAAUGCACUUUUCGGUUAACAAGUCAACAUCAAUUUCUUUUGUUGUAAAAGGGUAUGAGGAAGGUGGCUUUCUUUUCGGAGAAAGUGUUUAUAGCCUUGUACCUCUGCAAUCGGAGAGAUUGAGGACAGCAGCGUAGACUCUUCGGGGUUAGAUACACUUGUGCUAAGCUAUAGCCUUGUAUAGACAACUUGUUGACUAUGCUCAGUCAUGUAGCUUACUCGCUUGUGCUAUUUUACCUACGCUUAGGAUGUUGAUAGUCACAGCGUGUAC
rnacentral:rRNA from 1 species